rnacentral:lncRNA from 1 species
GCCCCCUCUAUCUGCCUCUCUCUUCUGGAUUCUGAUAACUGCUCCCUCCCCUUGUCAUUUUAGGUCUAGAAGGGAGCAACUGUUUCACUGUCAUCAGUUUUCUCUGCCUCCUGCCCACAUCUUUGAAAACACUGCUUUUGAAGGCCUCCUUGAAUGAUCCUGCCUCCUGCUGAGGGUGUGACUGCCAGCCGUCUCCAGAACACGUUCUCCAUCAGUCCCCAGAGGGGAGCAUCCCCUCCAUCCUCAUCAGAGAGAGAACCUAGACAGAACCAGACAUCCUCCAAGAGAAAAGGUUCCAGCGUCACUGAAAAAGAGAAACAGCCCCUCCCUUUACCCCAGCUGGAGAGGCCUAACGUCUUCCAUGACUCUCAGCACACCUGCACAGUGGCGCUGUCUGCAGAAAGUAAAAUGAGCUUCUUUGACAAGCUCCUGGCAUGGGACCCUGCAGAACCGAGACCAGCAGAAAGAUUGACCCCCUAUAAAUCCGCGCAGUUCAGUCUAACAAGUAAGUAUGUGAUCGCAACCAACACUGUCAGAGGCGGGGACCAGUGUCUGCGGUUGUUCUGUUCCCUCAGCAUGUUGGAUG